rnacentral:rRNA from 1 species
AACGAACGCUGGCGGCAGGCCUAACACAUGCAAGUCGAGCGAGGACUUCGGUCCUAGCGGCGGACGGGUGAGUAACGCGUGGGAACGUGCCCUUUGCUUCGGAAUAGCCCUGGGAAACUGGGAGUAAUACCGGAUGAGCCCUUUGGGGGAAAGAUUUAUCGGCGAAGGAUCGGCCCGCGUUGGAUUAGGUAGUUGGUGGGGUAAUGGCCUACCAAGCCGACGAUCCAUAGCUGGUUUGAGAGGAUGAUCAGCCACACUGGGACUGAGACACGGCCCAGACUCCUACGGGAGGCAGCAGUGGGGAAUCUUAGACAAGGGGGGAAGCCCUGAUCUAGCCAUGCCGCGUGAGCGAUGAAGGCCUUAGGGUUGUAAAGCUCUUUCAGCUGGGAAGAUAAUGACGGUACCAGCAGAAGAAGCCCCGGCUAACUCCGUG